rnacentral:rRNA from 1 species
AGCAGCCGCGGUAAUUCCAGCUCCAAUAGCGUAUAUUAAAGUUGUUGCAGUUAAAAAGCUCGUAGUUGAAUUUCGGGGUCAGUAGAUUGGUCGUGCCACUGGUAUGUACUGUCUUACUGGCUCCUCCUUCCUGAUGAACCGUAAUGCCAUUAAUUUGGUGUUGCGGGGAAACUGGACUGUUACUUUGAAAAAAUUAGAGUGUUUAAAGCAGGCUAACGCUUGAAUACAUUAGCAUGGAAUAAUGAAAUAGGACGUUCGAUCUUAUUUUGUUGGUUUCUAGGAUUGACGUAAUGAUUAAUAGGGAUAGUUGGGGGCAUUAGUAUUCAAUUGUCAGAGGUGAAAUUCUUGGAUUUAUUGAAGACUAACUACUGCGAAAGCAUUUGCCAAGGAUGUUUUCAUUAAUCAAGAACGAAAGUUAGGGGAUCGAAGACGAUCAGAUACCGUCGUAGU